rnacentral:rRNA from 1 species
GAUAUGGUAGGGAACACCAAAGGCGAAGGCAUUCAGCUGGCGCCUGGCUGACGCUGAAUCACGAAAGCGCGGGGAGAAAAAAGGAUUAGAUACCCUUGUAUUCCGCGCCCUAAACUAUGCCAACUCGCCGUUUGAAGUAUCGACCCUUUAAGUGGCUAAGCUAACGCGUUAAGUUGGCCGCCUGGGAAGUACGGCCGCAAGGCUAAAACUCAAAGGAAUAGACGGGGAUUUGCACAAGCGGUGGACCAUGUGGUUCAAUUCGACUCUAAGCGAGGAACCUUACCAGGGCUAGACUCCCUGAUGAAAAACUUGUGAAAGCAGGUUUGUCUUACAAGGACAUCAGGGUCAGGUGGUGCACGGUUGUCGUCAGCAUGUGGCUUGAGCUGCCCCCUUAAAUGGGUUAACAUGCGCAACCCUUACUGUCUGUUACAAGUGUCAGACGGAACUGCCUCCGUACAGGGGGAGGAAGGUGAGGAUGACGUCAAAUCAGCGUGUCCCUUUGAUGCCCUGGGCGACACACGUGGUACAAUGGCCGCUACAAUGGGUUGCCAAGCCGUAAGGCGGAGCUAAUCCCAUCAAAAGCGGUCUCAGUUCGGAUUGAGGGCUGAAAUUCGCCCUCAUGAAGCCGGAAUCGCUAGUAAUCGUGAAUCAGCCAUGUCACGGUGAAUACGUUCCCAAAUCUUGUACUCACUGCCCAUCAAUCUAGAAAAGUGGGGAGUACCCGAAGUUUCCAUUUAUUGGGACCUAAGGUAAGCUCCAUAAUUAGAGAUAAGUUGUAACAAGGCACGCGUAGCGGAAGCUGUGCGUGGAUCACCUCCUUUCUA